CUCCUUCUUCAGACAAUAGAGAAAGAAUGGAAGACUCAGUCCAAAGACUGCAGAAGUUCUGCUGUUUUGUGACAUGGAGAAGAUCAGCAUCUCCUUGCAUUUAUUGUCUUUCACCUUCUAGGUGAUGCUAAGGAUCAAAUGAUAUGAGAAAAUAUUUCCCACAUUUAAAAAUGUAUACAAAGCACAGAACUGAUGCACUGGAUGAUGAAUUGGGGAACCAUUCAAUGUCAAACAAGGCAGAACAGCAGACUGGAGAGUGACCUUUAGUUAACUAGAAAAUGACAGCAGCUAGGCCAUGCCUUGAACAAUCAAGCUUAUGAAUGUUUUUAGUCUGCAUUGAAUACGUACUGAUCUACCUAGGAACCUGAUGCAAUAGGAGAAGAGACAAACUGCUAAAUAUGAAAGAGGAUAAAAGAACUGAGAACUACAUAAUGAAUUGCAGAGAGGAGUAUGGUGGAGAAUUAUAGUGUGCCUUGCAUCCGGAGACUAAAUCCCAGUGAAAACUUCUGAGGAGACAUGGCAAAUACUAGAGGGAGGAAGAAGUCAUGAACAACUUGCUGGAUGAGAUAACAAGACCAUCCAUAGAAAAAAUGUGACUUAUUCUACAAAAAGGCUACUAGAACAAAUCAGUG